UACGAAGGGAGCUAGCGUUGUUCGGAAUCACUGGGCGUAAAGCGCACGUAGGUGGACAGUUAAGUCAGGGGUGAAAGCCCGAGGCUCAACCUCGGAAUUGCCUCUGAUACUGGCUGUCUCGAGUCCGAGAGAGGUGGGUGGAAUUCCUAGUGUAGAGGUGAAAUUCGUAGAUAUUAGGAAGAACACCGGUGGCGAAGGCGGCCCACUGGCUCGGUACUGACACUGAGGUGCGAAAGCGUGGGGAGCAAACAGG
rnacentral:rRNA from 1 species